CGUAGGGUGCGAGCGUUAAUCGGAAUUACUGGGCGUAAAGCGUGCGCAGGCGGUUUUGUAAGCCAGAUGUGAAAUCCCCGGGCUUAACCUGGGAAUGGCAUUUGGGACUGCAAGGCUGGAGUGCGGCAGAGGAGACUGGAAUUCCUGGUGUAGCAGUGAAAUGCGUAGAUAUCAGGAGGAAUACCGAUGGCGAAGGCAGGUCUCUGGGCUGACACUGACGCUCAUGCACGAAAGCGUGGGGAGCAAACAGGAUUAGAUACCCUGGUAGUCCACGCCCUAAACGAUGUCGACUGGUUGUUGGGGGUUUGACACUCUCAGUAACGAAGCUAACGCGUGAAGUCGACCGCCUGGGAGUACGGCCGCAAGGUUA
rnacentral:rRNA from 1 species